CGCUCUGCCCGGCCUGAGGGAGGGGCUGACUCCCCCCCUCACACUCACACCCCGGGGGAACCAGGGUGCCCCCGCCCGCUUGCAUCGCUCCGCCUAGGCCCCCUUGGUCCCAUCCAAGGAGCCCCAGGGAGGGGACGGGCCUGCUCCACCUUCCUCACCAGCUCCAAACCGGGACCAUUUAGCGGACCCUUUCAAUAUCCUGCAUUAUUUGGCAGCCAGAUCUGAGCAGUUGGCACGUCUUCCUGGAACUAUUGAGCUCUCCCUGAGUGCUUGAGGGAGACAGCAGAGGAGCUUACAACUGAGCAUGCAGGUGACUCCUAAGCAGUUUCAACGGAGAAGAGGUCGGAGGUCACCGAGUUGCUGACUGCUUAGUGUGACGUGAAGGUGUGGAUGGAAGACCACACUGCUGCCUUGCAUAUGUCCUGAAUGGGAACUUGUGUGAGGAACGCAGCGGAAAAGGCCUGUGCUCUUGUGGAGUGCGCUGUCAAUGCCGGGGCUGGGAUCUUAGC